rnacentral:rRNA from 1 species
AACGAACGCUGGCGGCGUGCCUAACACAUGCAAGUCGAACGUGAUCCGGAGCUUGCUCCGGUGAAAGUGGCGCACGGGUGAGUAACGCGUAGAUAAUCUGCCUGGUGAUCCGGGAUAACACUUCGAAAGGGGUGCUAAUACCGGAUAAGCCCACGGAGUCCUUGGACUCUGCGGGAAAAGGAGGGGACCUUCGGGCCUUCCGUCAUCAGAUGAGUCUGCGUACCAUUAGCUAGUUGGUAGGGUAAAGGCCUACCAAGGCGACGAUGGUUAGCUGGUCUGAGAGGAUGAUCAGCCACACUGGAACUGAGACACGGUCCAGACUCCUACGGGAGGCAGCAGUGGGGAAUUUUGCGCAAUGGGGGAAACCCUGACGCAGCAACGCCGCGUGAGUGAUGAAGGCCCUUGGGUCGUAAAGCUCUGACAGAGGGAAAGAAAUGUGGGUGGCUAAUAUCCAUUCCACUUGACGGUACCCUCAAAGGAAGCACCGGCUAACUCCGUGCCAGCCGCCGCCGUAAUAC